GGUCAACUGGGGUCGUAAGAUGUUGGGUUAAAGUCCGGCAAAGGAGCGCAACCCUUUUGCUUAUGUUGCCAGCAAGUAAUUGGUGGGGACUUGUAAGAGACUGCCGGGGUCAACUUGGAGGAAGGUGGGGACGACGUCAAGUCAUCAUGCCCCUUAUGUCCAGGGCUUCACACAUGCUACAAUGGCCAGUACAGAGGGCUGCGAGACCGUGAGGUGGAGCGAAUCCCUUAAAGCUGGUCUCAGUUCGGAUCGGGGUCUGCAACUCGACCCCGUGAAGUCGGAGUCGCUAGUAAUCGCAGAUCAGCAACGCUGCGGUGAAUACGUUCCCGGGCCUUGUACACACCGCCCGUCACGUCAUGAAAGUCGGUAACACCCGAAGCCGGUGGCCUAACCCCUUGUGGGAGGGAGCCGUCGAAGGGGGAUCGGCGAUUGGGA
rnacentral:rRNA from 1 species